GAUGAACGCUGGCGGCGUGCUUAACACAUGCAAGUCGAGCGAAAAUAGUUGAGAGCUUGCUUUUGAUUAUUUUAGCGGCGGACGGGUGAGUAACGUGUGGGCAACCUGCCUUUUACUGGGGAAUAAUCACUGGAAACGGUGACUAAUACCGCAUAAUAUUCUUGGAAGGCAUCUUCUGAGAAGGAAAGGAAUAAUUCGGUAAAAGAUGGGCCCGCAUCUGAUUAGCUAGUUGGUGAGAUAACAGCCCACCAAGGCGACGAUCAGUAGCCGACCUGAGAGGGUGACCGGCCACAUUGGGACUGAGACACGGCCCAA
rnacentral:rRNA from 1 species